rnacentral:lncRNA from 1 species
CCUCUUGUGUUUCUUCAUCAAAAGUGUCUUGUGCUAUAAGUAAUUCAUCUAAAAAUUGUUCUUGCCUAAUUAACCAACCUUCCAAAAAAAACCCAAAUGAAUUAUCAUCUCGACUUCUUCUAUAUGACCCAGCUGGCAUCUUUGAAUAAUUCCUUUUUAGUACAAAGGCAAGUCAAAAAAAAAGAGUGAAAGUAGAGAAGAGAAGAAUAAAGUGAAAGGGAUGAGGAAAAUAGAGAAAGAUUGUGCAUGUAUAUACUGAAAGAGGGUGCUAUGAUCAUGGAAAUUUCCUCCUCUUCUUUUAUAAAGAAAAAAUGAAAUUAUUAUUCUAUUUUGGUCAGAGUUUUGCUUGGUGGAAAAGAAUACUAU